AUUGAACGCUGGCGGCAGGCCUAACACAUGCACGUCGAACGAGUGGCGGACGGGUGAGUACUGUCUGGGAAACUGCCUGAUGGAGGGGGAUAACUACUGGAAACGGUGGCUAAUACCGCAUACCAUCAGAUGUGCCCAGAUGGGAUUAGCUAGUUGGUGGGGUAACGGCUCACCACGGCGACGAUCCCUAGCUGGUCUGAGAGGAUGACCAGCCCUACGGGAACGGAGACACGGUCCAUACUCCGACGGGAGGCAGCAGUGGGGAAUAUUGAACAAUGGUCGCAAGCCUGAGGCAGCCAUGCCGCUGGUAUGAAGAAGGCCUUCGGUUUGUAAAGUACUUUCAGCGGGUAGGCGUUACCCGCAGAAGAAGCACCGGCGAACUCCGUGCCAGCAGCCGCGGUAAUAC
rnacentral:rRNA from 1 species